GCGAUGAAAAAUCGUCAAUCAAAAUAGCCUUGCUUUUUUGUUGCUUUACGUCAAAAUGGACAAAAAGUAAACAUUGAGACACAUUUUCUCAUCAAAACAAUCACUUUCAAUUGAUAAAAACACGAUUUAAAACAUUUUGCAAAGCGGGCAACCACAGGCAAGUGGCAAUCUGUGCUCAACAAAGGGAGAGCACAGGUAUUUUUUAAAUAAAAAAGGCCCGGAACUAUUAUUCCAAACUUUCUGAAAAUUGUCGAUAAGCAUUUAUUUCUCUCAUCAAAACAAUUACUUUCAACUGAUAAAAAAUGCUCACUGACAUAGGGCUUUGCACUCAUUGGCUUAGAUUGGAUGAAUUCCCCAAGGGAUAACAUAUUAUUCAGAAUUUAAAAUUUUCAUGUCACAUUGCCUGGAAGACGUUUUAUAAACUAACCUUAUUUAAAUGAUUCAAGAUAGCGACUGUAGAUGAUUCUGUUUGGUAUAAAAUAAUCUUUCUUUUCCUGUCAUGUAAUCCGGUUCAACAUUGAUGACUGAUCACUGAUCCAAAUUCUCUUGGAACAAAAUACCUAAACAAUGAAAGAUAUUAAUCUAGUUAUUUGCACAUAUCAACUGACAACAUAUCUUAUCUAACUGAUACCAGACGAAGGAUGCAACAGAAAAAUUCAUAUUUUUGUUUUUAAAAAUGGGAGUACCACAGGAAAUUUUUUAAAAAUUCAUAAAGAUCCCCCAACUCACAAAACUUUCUUUCUCUCAUCAAAACAAUCACCUUCGACUUGUUUCAAAAACUUUGGGUCAAAUGCAAAGGGGGAUCAUAGACAACCAAAGAAAAUUCACACUUUUGUG
rnacentral:lncRNA from 1 species